rnacentral:rRNA from 1 species
AUUAUACGGCGAAACUACGAAUAGCUCAUUAAAUCAGUUAUCGUUUAUUUGAUAGUACCUUACUACUUGGAUAACCGUGGUAAUUCUAGAGCUAAUACAUGCUAAAAAACCCGACUCACGGAGGGAUGUAUUUAUUAGAUUAAAAACCAAUGCCCUUCGGGGCUUACUGGUGAUUCAUAAUAACUUCUCGAAUCGCAUGGCCUUGCGCCGGCGAUGGUUCAUUCAAAUUUCUGCCCUAUCAACUUUCGAUGGCAGGGUCUUGGCCUGCCAUGGUUACAACGGGUAACGGAGGGUUAGGGCUCGACCCCGGAGAAGGAGCCUGAGAAACGGCUACUACAUCCAAGGAAGGCAGCAGGCGCGCAAAUUACCCAAUCCCGAUACGGGGAGGUAGUGACAAUAAAUACUGAUACAGGGCUCUUUUGGGUCUUGUAAUUGGAAUGAGUACAAUUUAAAUCCCUUAACGAGGAACAAUUGGAGGGCAAGUCUGGUGCCAGCAGCCGCGGUAAUUCCAGCUCCAAUAGCGUAUAUUAAAGUUGUUGUAGUUAAAAAGCUCGUAGUUGAACCUUGGGCCUGGCUGGCCGGUCCGCCUCACCGCGUGUACUGGUUCGGCCGGGCCUUUCCCUCUGGGGAACCUCAUGCCCUUCACUGGGUGUAGCGGGGAACCAGGACUUUUACUGUGAAAAAAUUAGAGUGUUCAAGGCAGGCCUAUGCUCGAAUAGAUUAGCAUGGAAUAAUAAAAUAGGACGUGCGGUUCUAUUUUGUUGGUUUCUAGGACCGCCGUAAUGAUUAAUAGGGACAGUCGGGGGCAUCAGUAUUCAAUUGUCAGAGGUGAAAUUCUUGGAUUUAUUGAAGACUAACUACUGCGAAAGCAUUUGCCAAGGAUGUUUUCAUUAAUCAGGAACGAAAGUUAGGGGAUCGAAGACGAUCAGAUACCGUCGUAGUCUUAACCAUAAACUAUGCCGACUAGGGAUCGGACGAUGUUAUUUUUUGACUCGUUCGGCACCUUACGAGAAAUCAAAGUCUUUGGG